rnacentral:rRNA from 1 species
UACGUAGGGGGCGAGCGUUAUCCGGAUUUACUGGGUGUAAAGGGAGCGUAGACGGUUCUGCAAGUCUGAAGUGAAAGCCCGUGGCUUAACCGCGGAACGGCUUUGGAAACUGUGGAACUGGAGUGCUGGAGAGGCAAGCGGAAUUCCUAGUGUAGCGGUGAAAUGCGUAGAUAUUAGGAGGAACACCAGUGGCGAAGGCGGCUUACUGGACGGUAACUGACGUUGAGGCUCGAAAGCGUGGGGAGCAAACAGG